rnacentral:rRNA from 1 species
ACGCACGCUGGCGGCGUGCUUCACCCCUGCAAGUCGCACGGAAAGGCCCUGCUUGCAGGGUACUCGAGUGGCGAACGGGUGAGUAACACGUGGGUGAUCUGCCCUGCACUUCGGGAUAAGCCUGGGAAACUGGGUCUAAUACCGGAUAGGAGCCAUUUUUAGUGUGAUGGUUGGAAAGUUUUUUCGGUGUAGGAUGAGCUCGCGGCCUAUCAGCUUGUUGGUGGGGUAAUGGCCUACCAAGGCGGCGACGGGUAGCCGGCCUGAGAGGGUGGACGGCCACAUUGGGACUGAGAUACGGCCCAGACUCCUACGGGAGGCAGCAGGGGGGAAUAUUGCACAAGGGGCGCAAGCCUGAUGCAGCGACGCCGCGUGGGGGAGGACGGCCUUCGGGUUGUAAACUCCUUUCGCUAGGGACGAAGCUUUUUGUGACGGUACCUAGAGAAGAAGCACCGGCUAACUACGUG